rnacentral:lncRNA from 1 species
GCUAUAAAAUUCUGAGACUAAAUAUCAAAUUAAAGAAAGUACUAAUUGUCAGCGAUGGGGGAUGUACUGCUAUUUGCUUCUAGUGGUACUCACUGCUCAUUUCCUAUAUUCACUGGUAUAAAAAAAUUUCAAACACCCUCAAAAAAGCCUAUACUGGUGGUACCAGGAAAACGCUGAAAAUCAUUACUUUCUGUGUGGUGUCCAGCUCUUUUGGUUACAUCAUCACUUCGACCAUUCACUUUUAAAGAAAAACUUUUGUGGAACAAAAAUAUAAAGAUUUAUUUUUUUUCUUGGUGGCUUAGCACAGUGGCCUAAUGUGGCUGACCAUGUGCACCUGUUGUGUGAGUCACUUAGACGUGCUUUGUUUCUUGGUCACAGUUGAUCCCUCAACUCAAGCAUCUCACCCUCAAAAUGUUUGUUUGGGACCCAAGAGGCAAACCUUGAGAUGGGUUAUUUCUUUCACCUUGGAUUGGCUCAUCUGCUGGGAGUGGAGCCAAGCUGACAUUUCCUUUCCUUUUUGUCUGCCUAUCACUACGUAGAGGCAGCACAUAAGAGAGGGAAAGCCAUGCGCGUGGAGUCCAGCACAUCACCCAGAAGGCAGAUGUUCUAUCUCCAUUUUACUCAUUAAAACAAACAAAACCACACCUGGAUUGCCUGCAACUUUUAAAAGCCUUUCCACUGCACAGUGAAAGAAAACCACAAACUCCUUGUUUAAUAAGUGGGAUCACGUGCUUUUAACACGAGGAAAAGGUCAAUCUGAAGCAACUGAUAUGGAACUGCCAGAGUAGGAGUUGAAAAUCUUCCUAAACUGCUGGAGGAUACACCUCUGAUAGCUUGAGACAAAUAUCCUCUUGAUCAUUGUUUCACCAUAUUUGUCUUUGCUCAUGGAGAACCAUUUUGAUCCGUGGUUUAGCCUCCCAGGUGAUUGAACAAUACCGGUGAUCUGAGGCAGACCCUCUGUGACGGAUAACAGAAAAGAAAAUUGAGGAUCAGAAAAUACGCACAAUUUGCAAAAACCAUGGGAAAGAAUAUUGAUUGAACAUCUACUCAAGAACUGCAAAACAGAGAUUACCUGACCUAAAGAUGAAUCCAGGAUUCGGUGGUGCCUGUUCCAGGAACCUUUAGUGUGAAGGAUCCUCCAGGUGAGAGAAGCCUUUAUGUCUUCUGAAAUGGUUCUGCUGUGUCCCCACCCAAAUCUUGUAUUGAAGCUCCCAUAAUUCCCGCGUGCUGUGGGAGGGACCCAGUGGGAGAUAAUUGAAUCAUGGAGGCAGUUUCCCCCAUACUGUUCUUGUGGUAGUGAAUAAAUCUCACCAGAUCUGAUGAUUUUAUAAGAGGUUUCCCCUUUCACUUGGCUCU